UACGUAGGAUCCAAGCGUUGUCCGGAUUUACUGGGUGUAAAGGGUGCGCAGGCGGACUGGUUAGUCUGGGGGUGAAAUCUCAUCGCUUAACGGUGAAACUGCCUUAGAUACUGCCAGUCUUGAAUCAGCGAGAGGUUCGUGGAAUUCCGAGUGUAGACAGUGAAAUGUGUAGAUAUUCGGAAGAACACCAGUGGCGAAGGCAGCGAACUGGCGCUCGAUUGACGCUCAGGCACGAAAGCAUGGGGAUCAAACAGG
rnacentral:rRNA from 1 species